AACUUUCAGCAACGGAUCUCUUGGCUCUCGCAUCGAUGAAGAACGCAGCGAAAUGCGAUAAGUAAUGUGAAUUGGCAGAAUUCAGUGAAUCAUCGAAUCUUUGAACGCACCUUGCGCUCCUUGGUAUUCCGAGGAGCAUGCCUGUUUGAGUGUCAU
rnacentral:rRNA from 1 species